GACGAACGCUGGCGGCGUGCUUAACACAUGCAAGUCGAACGCUGAACCCGCUUCGGUGGGGGAUGAGUGGCGAACGGGUGAGUAACACGUGGGCAACCUGCCCCCGGCUCUGGGAUAACUCCAAGAAAUUGGGGCUAAUACCGGAUGUGGCCGCUGGCCGCAUGGUCUGGUGGUGGAAAGGGUUUCCGGCUGGGGAUGGGCCCGCGGCCUAUCAGCUUGUUGGUGGGGUAGUGGCCUACCAAGGCGACGACGGGUAGCCGGCCUGAGAGGGUGACCGGCCACACUGGGACUGAGACACGGCCCAGACUCCUACGGGAGGCAGCAGUGGGGAAUAUUGCGCAAUGGGCGGAAGCCUGACGCAGCGACGCCGCGUGGGGGAUGACGGCCUUCGGGUUGUAAACCUCUUUCAGCAGGGACGAAGCGCAAGUGACGGUACCUGCAGAAGAAGCACCGGCCAACUACGUG
rnacentral:rRNA from 1 species